GCGGGGGGUGUAAGCUCUACGGUGUGGACGGAAACAUACGGGCGCUACUGGCGGGAACCGGCUAUAUGCAAACCGUAUCAGUGCUCCAGGUCACGUGACGCGGUUUUGAAUCUAGAACUAGAUGCACAUGUUGCGGUUUAUCGCUUCUAGACUUUUGACAGACCUUUCAGUUAACCCCUUCCUGACGCAGCAGUUGUUGGUGACGAAGGCGCUAAACAUGGAAAGCUUCAGGUCACGACUGUAGUCAGCGCAGAUCUGUGUAAAGAAGAAAGUGCACUGCUGUUUGUGGAGUUUUUGCUGGCAGUACGGCAGGAAUGGCGCUGGAAUUUGGUAAACCGGUGAAGUGUGAGGACGAAGAGGAGGGUACGGGGACCUCUCUGAACUUCACGGCCACCAACAUCAUCUGCUCUUCGUUUGGGGAGGAAUAUGUUGGAUGUAGCGGGAUCGAGGGAGUGCAGUACGGGGGCAACGAGCAUGUGAUUACCCUUGCUGACCUCAAUCCCUACAUUCUGUGCUCAAUAUGCAAGGGUUACUUCAUUGAUGCCACCACCAUAACCGAAUGUCUACAUACAUUUUGUAAGAGCUGUAUAGUGAGGCAUUUCUACUACAGUAACCGAUGUCCUAAAUGCAAUGUUGUGGUGCAUCAAACCCAGCCCCUUUACAAUAUCAGGUUGGAUAGACAGUUACAGGACAUAGUAUUCAAACUAGUUGUCAAUUUAGAAGAACGUGAGAAAAAACAAAUGCAUGAUUUUUACCAUGAAAGAGGGCUUGAAGUGCCUAAACCUGUAAUCCCACAAUCUGUCUUUACUGCUCGAGGAAGAUCAAAGAGGCUAUUGGGACCCUCAUUCCGCAUUCCACCAGAACUGGACGUGUCACUUCUUCUGGAGUUUAUAGGAGCUGAUGAAGGCACGGGAAGCUAUAAGCCUUUGGAAAAGAAGUUUGUACGUGUCUCAGGAGAAGCUACUAUAGGACAUGUUGAGAAGUUCUUAAGAAGAAAGAUGGAAUUGAACACAACCUGUCAGGUGGACAUUAUAUGUGGAGAUCACCUCUUGGAACAUUACCAGACAUUAAAGGAAAUUAUUGCUGAAAUUGGGAAAAGUGCUGUUCAGGUGCCGAUCUACUGGUGUCACCUUAUACUGUAAUCCUGAUCUUACAAAGUAGGCUACUGUAAAGUUAUCUCUAUAGAACAGGAAGUGUCAGCCUAAUAUUAGGCCUAGUAGGAUGGGUUACUCGUCCUUCACUUUGGCCUUGUCCUGUCUCCAUUAUCGGUGACAUGAGCUGAUUCCUUAUAAAGGAAGUAUUUAACAAAGGCACAGACUCAACACUUCUUGAAGACUGCACUGUGAAUAGAGAUGUUUUUUCUUUUUUUGCAUUGUGAAGAUUUAGGACAAGCUCUGCGGCAGUGAUAUUAGAGAUUUUUCGGCCUUGAGUUUUACAAGCAUCACCUUUCUAAUGGUUUGAUGCUCAUCAGACAAGUCCAUAUCAAAUAUCUUUCCUGUUGCAAUGAACUUAGUAUCUGCCUAGACAUAAUUCAGACAUCCGCAAUAUGUGGGUCUCCAGCUGUUGUAGAAACAAACUCCUGUCAGACCAUGCUGGGAGUUGUAGUUGACCAGCAGCCAGGGUACCAUUGAUUUGCACUGCUGUAAAAAAGUAUACCAAAAAAUUAUACUGCACAGUAUAUAAUUUUCCUUACCAUUAUCCAUGCAUAAAUUUAGCAGGUACACUGUACAUUGUGUAAAUUGCACUGUGAGGCUUUACACUAUUAUAAAACGGACACAUUUUUACACCAAUAUUGUGGCCACAAGUCUAAGCCUGACCAUGGAUCCGAUGACCCAAAACCGACAGCUGUCUGACCAGUGAUCAGUCUGGGACCUGCAGCCAUAUUCCACUAGUGUGAACCAAGUCUUUGUACUAAUUGUAUGUGAAUGCAGGGCAUCUUGGUGCCAGGGCUGUGCAGCUAUAACACACUGAGAGCCUUCUGCUCUUUUAGCUAUGAGUGCACAUUUAAUAAUAUUAUAAAGGGGAGAUGUUUCAAACUGCUAAUUCGCUGACUGUUCUAUGCAGAAUGUAUGCACAGGGCGAGCACUGCAGGACAUACGUUAAGUGGAACUUUAGCCUAUAGCUGCAAGGCAGUGAUGUCAAACGGGAGGCUUGUUCUUUUGGUUACUGCAGUACAGACCAGUUACCUAUAGUAGUAGAUUCUACUUGUGGUAUUAUGGAUUUAUAGUGUAGAGAGCACAUUAAAAGCUUGUAUUUGGAGGACCAGAUGUGAAUGACCUACAGAUGUUUUUCACCAUUUAUAAAAAUUUGCCUGAAGUUUACUUUUCAUAUUAAUGUAAUUUUCUGCAACAAACUUAUGUAAGCAGGAAAUCAUUCACUUACAGCUUUAACUGUAGAACUUGGAUUUCUGUAAAUAUACAACACAUUUGUAACAGAUUUAUGGUGUUGGGAAGAGAAUAUAUUUUCCCUGUAACUGUAUAUACUUGGAAUAAAAAACAGUUUCCGC